AACGAACGCUGGCGGCAUGCCUAACACAUGCAAGUCGAACGAGACCUUCGGGUCUAGUGGCGCACGGGUGCGAAACGCGUGGGAACCUGCCCUUAGGUUCGGAAUAACUCCCCGAAAGGGGUGCUAAUACCGGAUAAUGUCUUCGGACCAAAGAUUUAUCGCCUUUGGAUGGGCCCGCGUUGGAUUAGCUAGUUGGUAGGGUAAAAGCCUACCAAGGCGACGAUCCAUAGCUGGUCUGAGAGGAUGAUCAGCCACACUGGGACUGAGACACGGCCCAGACUCCUACGGGAGGCAGCAGUGGGGAAUAUUGGACAAUGGGCGAAAGCCUGAUCCAGCAAUGCCGCGUGAGUGAUGAAGGCCUUAGGGUUGUAAAGCUCUUUUACCCGGGAUGAUAAUGACAGUACCGGGAGAAUAAGCUCCGGCUAACUCCGU
rnacentral:rRNA from 1 species